CAGUCGCCACGGUAAUACGUAGGGUGCGAGCGUUAAUCGGAAUUACUGGGCGUAAAGCGUGCGUAGGCGGUUCGUUAAGUCUGUUGUGAAAGCCCCGGGCUCAACCUGGGAAUGGCAAUGGAUACUGGCGAGCUAGAGUGUGUCAGAGGAUGGUGGAAUUCCCGGUGUAGCGGUGAGAUGCGUAGAUAUGCGGAGGAACACCGAUGGCGAAGGCAAUCCCCUGGACCUGUACUGACGCUCAUGCACGAAAGCGUGGGGAGCAAACAGGAUUAGAGACCCCCGUAGUCCCUGUCUCUUAUAC
rnacentral:rRNA from 1 species